CCUUAGAUGUCCUGGGCUGCACGCGCGUUACACUGACGGAGCCAGCGAGUACUUCCUUGUCCGAAAGGUCCGGGUAAUCUUGUUAAACUCCGUCGUGCUGGGGAUAGAGCAUUGCAAUUAUUGCUCUUCAACGAGGAAUCCCUAGUAAGCGCAAGUCAUCAGCUUGCGUUGAUUACGUCCCUGCCCUUUGUACACACCGCCCGUCGCUACUACCGAUUGAAUGGCUUAGUGAGGCGUCCGGACUGGUCCAGGAAGGCGGGCAACCGCCCUCCAGGACCGGAAAGCUCUCCAAACUUGGUCAUUUAGAGGAAGUAAAAGUCGUAACAAGGUCUCCGUUGGUGAACCAGCGGAGGGAUCAUUA
rnacentral:rRNA from 1 species